CCCCUAGAUGUUCUGGGCCGCACGCGCGCUACACUGAACAGUUCAACAAGUCUUAACCUUGGCCGAUAGGUCUGGGUAAUCUUUGAACGCUGUUCGUGAUUGGGAUAGACCUUUGCAAUUAUGGGUCUUCAACGAGGAAUUCCUAGUAAACGCAAGUCAUCAGCUUGCAUUGAUUACGUCCCUGCCCUUUGUACACACCGCCCGUCGCACCUACCGAUUGAAUGGUCCGGUGAAGCCUCCGGAUUGGCGCGCACCCCGGUGCCGCCGAGAAGUUGGCUAAACCUUACCAUUUAGAGGAAGGUGAAGUCGUAACA
rnacentral:rRNA from 1 species